rnacentral:rRNA from 1 species
GAUGAACGCUGGCGGCGUGCCUAAUACAUGCAAGUAGAGCGAACAGAUGAGAAGCUUGCUUCUCUGAUGUUAGCGUUGGACGGGUGAGUAACACGUGGGUAACCUACCUAUAAGACUCGGAUAACUCCGGGAAACAGGGGAUAAUACCGGAUAAUAAUUUUAACCGAAUGGUUCAAUAGUGAAAGACGGUUCCGGCUGUCACUUAUCAAGGGACCCGCGCCGUAUUAGCUAGUUGGUAAGGUAACGGCUUACCAAGGCGACGAUACGUAGCCGACCUGAGAGGGUGAUCGGCCACACUGGAACUGAGACACGGUCCAGACUCCUACGGGAGGCAGCAGUAGGGAAUCUUCCGCAAUGGGCGAAAGCCUGACGGAGCAACGCCGCGUGAGUGAUGAAGGUCUUCGGAUCGUAAAACUCUGUUGUUAGGAAAGAACAAAUUUGUUAGUAACUGAACAAGUCUUGACGGUACCUAACCAGAAAGCCACGGCUAACUACGUGCCAGCCGCCGCAGUAA